ACCGUGGGGUUUCGGCCCCAUUGAGAUAGCACCCUUUGUUUAUGAGUACCCUUGUUUCCUCGGCGGGCUUGCCCGCCAUGAGGACAUCAAAAACCCUUUGUAGUAGCAGUAACUUCAGUUAAUAAUAAAUAUUAAAACUUUCAACAACGGAUCUCUUGGUUCUGGCAUCGAUGAAGAACGCAGCGAAAUGCGAUAAGUAAUGUGAAUUGCAGAAUUCAGUGAAUCAUCGAAUCUUUGAACGCACAUUGCGCCCCCUGGUAUUCCGGGGGGCAUGCCUGUCCGAGCGUCAUUACAACCCUCAAGCUCAGCUUGGUGUUGGGCCCCGCCGCCCCGGCGGGCCCUAAAGUCAGUGGCGGUGCCGUCCGGCUCCGAGCGUAGUAAUUCUUCUCGCUCUGGAGGUCCGGUCGUGUGCUCGCCAGCAACCCCCAAUUUUUUUCAGGUUGACCUCGGAUCAGGUAGGGAUACCCGCUGAACUUAA
rnacentral:rRNA from 1 species